rnacentral:lncRNA from 1 species
CAACAUAAACCUCUUCCUUUGAAUAAGACUUCGUUAACUUAGAGUUUAUCUCAUUGGAAAUUCAUUUCUCAACCCCUAAUAAAAUAUGUUGUGUGUUAGGCAUCCCUUAUUUUGAUGUGAAGACCUUCAAAGAAAGCUUUAGCGAUAUGUGCCAUCUUGAUUUGUUCCCUCGUGGACUUACCAUCUUCAAACUCUAAACAAUUGAUUGUAUUCCUUUUUUUCCAUUGAGA